CUCCUCCUAGCCUUUCCUUUCUCUACCUUACUUAUCUCCUUGUCUUCCUUAAUUCUCUUUCUAAGCCCUUGUCCCAAAAUCAGAUUUGUCCUUACUAUUUUGAACUUGUUCUAACAAGGAAAGGAAGAAACUAAUUGGGCAAUAUAGAGAGUAUAUAAGAAAGAAGAGAUCAGAUGAGUGAAUAAGAAACUCAGUACGCCACCC
rnacentral:lncRNA from 1 species